GGGCAGGGCGCAGGCUACACAUGCAGUCGAGCGGAUGAGGAGAGCUUGCUCUCUGAUUCAGCGGCGGACGGGUGAGUAAUGCCUAGGAAUCUGCCUGGUAGUGGGGGACAACGUUUCGAAAGGAACGCUAAUACCGCAUACGUCCUACGGGAGAAAGUGGGGGAUCUUCGGACCUCACGCUAUCAGAUGAGCCUAGGUCGGAUUAGCUAGUUGGUGGGGUAACGGCUCACCAAGGCGACGAUCCGUAACUGGUCUGAGAGGAUGAUCAGUCACACUGGAACUGAGACACGGUCCAGACUCCUACGGGAGGCAGCAGUGGGGAAUAUUGGACAAUGGGCGAAAGCCUGAUCCAGCCAUGCCGCGUGUGUGAAGAAGGCCCUCGGGUCGUAAAGCACUUUAAGCUGGGAGGAAGGGUUGUAACCUAAUACGUUGCAGCUUUGACGUUACCAGCAGAAUAAGCACCGGCUAACUCUGUGCCAGCAGCCGCGGUAAUACAGAGGGUGCAAGCGUUAAUCGGAAUUACUGGGCGUAAAGCGCGCGUAGGUGGCUUGGUAAGUUGAAUGUGAAAUCCCCGGGCUCAACCUGGGAACUGCAUCCAAAACUGCCUGGCUAGAGUACGGUAGAGGGUGGUGGAAUUUCCUGUGUAGCGGUGAAAUGCGUAGAUAUAGGAAGGAACACCAGUGGCGAAGGCGACCACCUGGACUGAUACUGACACUGAGGUGCGAAAGCGUGGGGAGCAAACAGGAUUAGAUACCCUGGUAGUCCACGCCGUAAACGAUGUCAACUAGCCGUUGGGGUCCUUGAGACUUUAGUGGCGCAGCUAACGCAAUAAGUUGACCGCCUGGGGAGUACGGCCGCAAGGUUAAAACUCAAAUGAAUUGACGGGGGCCCGCACAAGCGUGGAGCAUGUGUUUAAUUCGAAGCAACGCGAGACCUUACCAGGCUUGACAUGCAGAGAACUUUCCAGAGAUGGAGAGGUGCCUUCGAGC
rnacentral:rRNA from 1 species